rnacentral:sRNA from 1 species
GGAACGUGGUCGGAGGCCGAUUCGACACAGACAAGUCGUUGGAGCUGAUCCGAAAGCAUGGCUUCUCCGUGGCUUUGUUUGCCCCCGGCUGGGUGUAUGAGUGUCUGGAGAAGAAGGAUUUCUUCCAGAACCAGGACAAGUUCUGGGGCCGGCUGGAGCGUUAUCUGCCCACACAUAGCAUCUGUUCCUUGCCUUUCGUCACGUCCUUCUGCCUGGGCAUGGGUGCACGGAGGGUCUGCUAUGGCCAGGAGGAGGCAGUGGGGCCCUGGUACCACCUGAGCGCCCAGGAGAUCCAGCCCUUGUUUGGAGAACACAGGCUGGGAGGGGAUGGCCGGGGCUGGGUGAGGACGCACUGCUGCCUGGAGGAUGCCUGGCAUGGAGGCAGCUCCCUUCUCGUCCGGGGUGUGAUCCCACCGGAGGUUAUUUUCCCUGCAGGCCCCAGUGCCAC